UUGGUCAAGAGGGAGAGUGUCUGUAGUAAUGGAUGUUGUUCUUGGCCAUGGAAGGUAUCUGUGGGCCAAUGAGAAAGUGGGUGUGCAAGUGUGUGAGCACUUCUGCCCCUCGCCCCUUGUUCUUAUUUGAAGACAUGAUACCUGACCUAGCCUGGCAACGAGAAAUGAAAGGCUCCAAAGGUCCCUUCUUAGGUUGCUGUGCAAAAAGGUCUUUUAGUCAAAGGCAGAGUCAGAAGUCCCAAGGUCUCAGAGUCAGCCCUCAGUCUCUUUUUUCCUCCAUCCACCUCCAGUGCUUAGAAGUGAGGACUUGAUCAAAUAGAAGAGACUGGAUGUGCCCUGGAUACAGAUUGUGGAGGUGUUUCUGGUAUGA